rnacentral:rRNA from 1 species
AUUGAACGCUAGCGGCAUGCUUAACACAUGCAAGUCGAACGGCAGCGCGGGGAGCUUGCUCCCUGGCGGCGAGUGGCGGACGGGUGAGUAACGCGUAGGAAUCUACCUUGUAGUGGGGGACAACCCGGGGAAACUCGGGCUAAUACCGCAUAAUCUCUACGGAGCAAAGUGGGGGAUCUUUUGACCUCACGCUAUUAGAUGAGCCUGCGUCGGAUUAGCUUGUUGGUGGGGUAAUGGCCUACCAAGGCAACGAUCCGUAGCUGGUCUGAGAGGACGAUCAGCCACACUGGGACUGAGACACGGCCCAG